rnacentral:sRNA from 1 species
GCUGGGUGCGGUGGCACAUGCCUGUAAUCCCAGUGGCUUGGGAGGCUGAGGCAGGAGGAUGGUGAGUUCAAAGUCAGCCUCAGCAAAAGUGAGGCACUAAGCAGCUCAGUGAGACCCUGUCUCUA